UGCACCAUCAAUAAUUCACUCUGAGAGGUAAAGGCGAGAUAUCAGCUUUUAUUAACUGGAAGAAGGAACAAGCAGUGAGUGACCACCAUACUACAUCCUGGAGACUGAGAGGCCGGGCUCAGGCCUUGAUCGCCUUUAUACAGGGGUCUGUGGGAGGAGCCACAGGAGCAGUCAGCAGGGGGCGUGUCCAGACAGGACCCUUGGGAGUUAGAAGAUUUUUUAUGUUAAGAACUCAAGAUGACACAAAGUAAUAAAGGUGAUGUUGCAUUGUGGAAGGUGCCAGUAUUUGGAUGGAAUGUUAGCUGGAGGGCUCAACUCUGUUUUGAAGGUUAAAGGGCGAUGAACCUGUAUUCCACCAUUCGAUUCCAUGCCACGCCACUCCACUCGGAGCCGUCAUAUCUUAUCACAGCUAGCCUGGAAUGCUCCUGACUAUAAGGUUAAGAAUGUAACUACCUUACAACUUUGGAAUUCGCUGGCUGUUGUCUAAAAUCAACUACAAUUUUAUGGUCAAGGUGUCACAGAAGAAAGGGAGAACUUGAUCAUGGAUAUCUUUUAGGGGGUUCACCCCUGUCAGGAAGACAAAAGGAGAAAAGAGUUCGAGCCGAGACAAAGUUGUACCAGCUGCUUCAGAUGAUCAUAUUUGGAAAGCAAGGAGGAUGAAGGUGUUUUCUUCUGCAUAGUAGUUCCAGGCAUUGAUUCUCCUCUGGCCCUCCAGUGUGAUAUCUAUAUCCUCAUCCUUAGGCCAUGAUCUGAGCAGUACGGUGCUGAUGUAAGACAGGCAGCAUGUUACAAACAUCAGUGCAAGGAGCCUAUACAGAAUACUCCACAAAUAUCUCAUCUUUUCAGUAUUUAAGUAAAAUGACUACAGUUUUUUGAUUGAAUGAUGUCCCCAUAUGGCUAAUCCAGGCUCGACAAGAAGCUCAGGGACCUUGGCCUUGACCCUGCCUUGUGCAGCUGGAUCCUGGACUUCCUGUCAGAUCGCCAGAAGGUGGUAAGAAUGGGCUCCCUCACCUUCACCCCUCUAACCCUCAACACAGGAGCCCCUCAGGCCUGUGUACUAAGCCCCCUCCUUUACUCUCUGUAUACCUAUGACUGUGUCACCACCCACAGCUCUAAUCUGCUAAUUAAAUUUACGGAUGACACUACAUUGUUUGGCCUAAUCUCGAACACCAAUGAAGUGGCCUACAGGGAAAUUUCUUCCCUGUAAAAGUCAAGUAAACAAAGAAGUAAAAGUCAAGUAAACAAUCUCUCCCUGUCGCAAAAACAAAAGAGCUGGUUAUGGAUUUCAGGAAGAACGGAGAUGGGCUAACCCCUAUUGACAUCAAUGGAUCUGAGGUUGAGAAGGUAAACAGCUUUAAAUUCCUUUAAAGACCUGACGAAGGGUCUUGGCCCGAAACGUUGACUGCUCAUUUCAAUGGAUGCUGCCCAACCAGUUGAGUUCAUCCAGCUUGUUUGUACGUGUUUAAAUUCCUCGGCAUCCACAUCACUGAGGACCUGAUGUGGUCUGUACACACCAGCUGUGUGGUGAAAAAGACACAACAGCACCUCUUUAAGCUCAGAUGGUUGAGGAAGUUUAAUAUGGGCCCCCAAAUCCUAAGAACUUUCCACAGGGGUACAGUUGAAAGCAUCCUGACUGGUAUGGGAACUGUACCUGCCUUAACUGCACGAUUCUGCAGAGAGUGUUGCAGACCUGUACUUGUGAACUUUCAUGAUUCAGGACAUUUACGAAGACAGGUGUGUAAAAAGGGUCCAUGGGAUCACUGGGGGCCCUGAGUCCCCCCAACCACAAUCUAUUCUAGCUGCUGGAAUCCAGGAAAUGGUACCGCAGCAUAAAAGCCAACACCAAUAGGCUCCAGGACAGCUUCUUCCACUAGGCCAUCAGACUGAUGAACUCAUGCUGAUUUGAGUGUAUUUCUGUUACAUUGACUGUUCUUUUUAUUACAAGUUACUAUGAUUGCACAUUGCACAUCUAGUCGGAGAUGUAAUGAAAAGAUUUUUACUCCUCAUGUAUGUGAAGGAUGUAACAAAUAACUGUUGGAAGAACUCCAAGAUGGUGGCGCGACGCAGCUUGCAGUGGCCACUCCAGAACUGAUUAUCUGUUAUUUGUGAAGUGGGUUGCCAUGCGCAAUCAUAAUUGAUUGAAAACGGACAUGGAAGCACGGAGAAACAUUGGGAAAUUCCAGGAAGACCUUCUUCGUUGCUGCUGCUGUAAGGUCCGGGACUCUGCUGGGAAGAACAGGCCCCCAGUCCUCGGGGUCACGUUGCCAACAGCCAUUGGUGGGGCCAUCUUAAUACGCUCGGCAGAGGAUGGUGCGCGGAGAAGCUGUGCCAGAGGGGAUGGUCGUCGGCUCGGAGGUUCGACAGACUCGAAGUCCUUUCGAUGGACUCAGGUCACUUUCGGUGUGUGCUACGUCUGCGAGGCUGGGUUCGACGGAGCUUUCAUUGUGUGCUGCAUCUGCGAGGCUGAGUCGGGUGGCAUCUUGGAAGUCCAUAGCGGGGGUAUUUCCUUCUGCUGCCAGCAUGGGAUGACGAGUCUGUCGAGACCCUGGGGACUUGUGGAAACUGUGGAGAUUUCUUUUGAACUUACAGUCCUUUAACAUCUUUAACAUCAUUUUUAUUAAUUAUGCUAUUGUUUGCACUGUUGUAACUAUAUGUUGUAAUUAUGUGGUUUUGUGCAGUUCUUGUAGCUUUAGUUUUUGGUCUUGUUUUCGUCUGGUGGAUUUUGAGCUCCUUUCCGGGGAAUGCACUAGACGGUAGCGCAAUAUUAAUACACAGCAGCCUCUCCAGACUCUGGAUUGGGGAUUGUCAAACAUUACGUGGAUUUUCUGGUGUAGUCUGUUUUGUCAUAUGCUUGUGUGAUAUCAUUCUGGGGGAACGUUGUCACAUUUUUUAACUGCAUUGCAUUUGUGGUUUCUAAAGGACAAUAAACUGAAUCUGAAUCUGAAUCUGAAUAAAGUCAAUUCAAUAUGGGGAAGGGUUGUCUAAUUUGAAUUCUACCCAUUUAGCCCAUUUUCACCCUUUGGGUAAAAAAAUCAACAACUCCAGGCCAAAAUGCCUAGUUUUAAUGAUUAA